rnacentral:lncRNA from 1 species
AAUCAUCAUUGUCGAAUUAAGAUCUCAAGCCUCUAAAAGGGUUCCUUUUUGUUUGCGUGGCCAAAUAUUCGUCUUUUAAUUUGGCUAGUUAUUGCGUGGUGUCUUUAACGUCUCCGUAAUAAUAUCACACGUAGAAGAACUCUAUGCUGAAUGUAUCUUCUAUCAUGCAAGAGUUAUACUUUCUAUUGUGGAUAAUUUUUUUAUAUUAUAUUUUAAGAUCAGAGAUAGUAUUAUACAAAAAUGAUAUAAAGAAAUUUAAUUAAAAUAAAAAAUUAAAAGAAAAUACAGAUAAAUAUAAUAAAAUAGAGUUAAUUUAAUUAUAUAAUAUGAAUAAAAAAUAUUGAAAAUAAAAAAUAUGAUUAAAAAUCUGAAAUAUAUCCAUGAAGUGUGGUUUGCAAAUAGAUAAGUAACCAAUGAAACAUGUGAGAUAUUAUACAUGGUGAUAAGAUGAUUACAAGCAACAUGUUUGAAUCUAGCUCUACCAUAUAUAACAUGCUCAUGAUUCAGAUGAUUACGUGUAUUCGGAUUCACCCUUACGAAUGCUCAUAGUAUAAUAAUGUUAUUAGAGGAUCCCGAAGAAUCCCUUUUGUUGUCUUUGUGUAGCAAAUAGAGUAUGGGUGUGAAGCUUCCCUCCACAUUUCCACCUUGCCAUCAUGCCACAUUGCCACUUGACACAUCUGGUUACUAAUUACUAUCACUAUCAGUAUCACACACUAUAAUAACACCACCAUUUGCAUCGUGGGACCCACUUUUAUGCCACUAGGUUUAGUCUAGUAGUGGAGAGUUUGGGUAGUAUGUUAUAGGUCUUGAGUUCGAUCAUCAGUUCAUUGUAAACCAAAAAAUAAAAAAAUAUUAGAUGUAUUAUGUAAGAUAAGAGUUCGAACUCCAAUACUCUCACUUACUGUAUUCAUUUAAAGUAACUGUAUUAACUAUUGAUGUGGUAUUUUUCACCAUCAUAAAAUAUACAUAUAUUUUUAUAUCAUUUUAUACUUUAACCGCUUCAAAACUAAUUUAAUUCAAUUAGUUUAUAAUUUAAUUUUACUAAACAAACCCUUUAUGUCAAUAAAAUAAAUUUGAGUUAGAAAUUAUAAAACUCAGUUCGUUC